UAGUUUAUAUUUAUUAUUAGAUUAUGUGUAUCUAUUUCUUACCAGUAAUUUGCCGGUAGACGAUGUGGCUGUUGAGUAAAACAGUGUCAACACACAGACUGGCUUCAUCUUUGGUUGCCCAGUGAUGUGAUCGAGCUUCCCUGUGGCUGCCAUACCAGUUGGGUGGACUGUGGUGAACUUUGGCAUCCCUUUCCUGUUUGCCCGCACAGUCCCACAAGCUCCAGUGGCAAGUGACAAGAGGUGCUGGAAAAGUGUGGGACUACUGUACCAAUUGUCCACAUAAAGAACAUGACCUUUUCCAAGGUAAGGUGCCAGAAGUGUCAUCACAACAGACCCAGAAAUCCCAAGUCCUUGGUAAUGUUGGAUGUCAGUGGUAGAUCCGGAGUAAAUGAUCAUGUCCUGCACAUAACCAGUUAGCACAUCACACAAAACAAAGAACUUGACCCCAAAUCUGUGUCGUUUAGAUGGAAUGAACUGACGAAAUGCCAGCCUGCCUUUCCACUUCAUCAGAGACUCAUCCACACACAGAUCCCUGUAUGGGACAAAAAUGCGACGAAAGGAGGACGUGAGAGCAGUGAAUAUGUUUCUUAUUUUUUUCAGCGGGUCAUUGAAAACUGCUGUCGCAUUGUUUGCGAAGUGUAGACAGCGGAGGAGCAGAAGGAAGCGGUCCUGAGAAAACAAAGAUCCGAAAAAUGGUGUCAAGAGCAUGGGGUCUGUGCUCCAGUAAUCACGAAGUGAUGGUUUUUUGAUCACCCCCAUUAGGAGCACUGACACUAAAAAGGUGUACAUUUCAGGGAUAUUUGUUGGAACCCAUUUAGCUAGUUUUCCUUUAACUUCCUUUUCUAGCAAGUCAGAGGCAUAGCGGUUUGUUUCCUCCACUAUUUCUCCGAUGACUUCUUCUGUGAGGAACAAUUUAAAACAAUUGACCUCACUGGGCGAUUCUGGUGGAUUUUGUACACCACGCUGCUGGUUGUCAAAAGUGCCUGGGCCAGGAGGAUUAAAAAGGUUGGUUGCCUUCCAUGAAAAUGAGCUUACCUCUUCUGCUUCAUUUGACAUAGGUACAACAUGGACGGGUGUUGUCUCUUCUUCAAUGUCGUCAAGAGCUUCAAGAUUUGGGGGAAGAUCUUCAUCGCUGUCACUUUCU